rnacentral:tRNA from 1 species
GGUUCUGUGGCGAAGUUGGUCAACGCACCCUGUCUAACGAAUGGGGGAGACGUGAGUUCAAAUCCUACUAGAUCUA